GGAGGUGUAGCUCAGUGGUAGAGCACAUGCUGAGCAUUACAAUACACUGGGUUCAGUCCCCAGCACCCCCC
rnacentral:tRNA from 1 species